rnacentral:lncRNA from 1 species
GCUGCGGAGGCCGUGGAUCGACUGGUGGAUGCCUUUCGGAGAGGCAUCAGGUGGAGAUCUAGUUGGGAAAGGAGAGGAAGACGUCGGAGAAGAUGACUGGAGGCAAUCCCAUUGAGCACUCCUUCAAGAACAAGGGUACUGCGAAGACACAGGCCCCUUCUUCUAGCGCCAAUUCUAUUGGUGCAGAAUUCCGCCGAAGUCGGAGUUGCUGGAGUCGAGAUGACCGCGGCCGCCGUCGGGACCUGCAAGGAAAGUCUAAACCGGAGUUGGAUGUGCUCCGGCAAGAUCCUCCGAUGCUCAAGUCAGUACUCUGCUUCAACAGAAAUGGAGUGCUCGAGUGG